AGCCAUGUUGCUCACACAAAGCCUGUUUGGUGGUCUCUUCACACGGACGCACAUGAAAUUUGGUGCCAUGACUCUGAUCGGGGGACCUCCCUUGGGAGAUCAAUCCCCUGUCCUCCUGUUCUUCGCUCUGUGAGAAAGAUCCACCUACGACCUCAGGUCCUCAGACCGACCAGCCCAAGGAAUAUCUCACCAAUUUUAAAUCUGGUAAGCGGCCUCUUUUUACUCUCUUCUCCAACCUCCCUCACUAUCCCUCAACCUCUUUCUCCUUUCAAUCUUGGCGCCACACUUCAAUCUCUCCCUUAAUUUCAAUUCCUUUCAUUUUCGGGGAGAGACAAAGGAGACACGUUUUAUCCGUGGACCCAAAACUCCAGCGCCGGUCACGGACUGGGAAGGCAGCCUUCCCUUGGUGUUUAAUCAUGGCAGGGAUGCCUGAUUAUUCAUCCAUGUUUCAAAGGUGUCAGACCACACAGGGACGCCUGCCUUGGUCCUUCGCCCUUAGCGGCAAGUCCCGCUUUUCUGGGGAAGGGGCAAGUACCCCAACCCCUUCUCUGCUUUUCUGGGCAAGGGGCAAGUACCAUAACGCCUUCUCUCCUUGUCUCUACCCCUUCUCUGCUUUCCUGGGGCAAGGGCAAGUUUCCCUCAACCCCUUCUCCUUCACCCUUAGUGGCAAGUCCCGCUUUUCUGGGGGGGCAAGAAUCCCCAAUCCCUUAUUUCCGCACCCCAACCUCGCAUCUCUGCCCCUCGAUCCCUUAUUUCGGUGCCCCGACCCCUUACUUCUGUGCCCCAUCCCUUAUUUCUGCCCCCCGACCUCUUAUCUCUGCACCCCAACCCCUUUUCCCACUUUUUUGGAAGGUAAGAACCCCCGAACCCCUUCCCUCCGUUUCUAUACUCUCUCUUUUCUCUAGGCUUGCUUCCUUCACCCCGACAUUAAAUAAAACUCCAAAAAUUAAAUUCCAGCCCUCAAACCCCACAACAGCAUUUAAUUAACCUCGCCUUCAAGGUGUACAAUAAUAGAAAAAAGUUGCAAUUCCUUGCCUCCACUGUGAGACAAACCCCAGCCACAUCUCCGGCACACAAGAAUUUCCAAAAGCCUGAACCGCAGCAGCCAGGCGUUCCUCCAGAACCUCCUCCCACAGGAGCUUGCUACACAUGCCAGAAAUCUGGCCAUUGGGCCAAGGAAUGCCCGCAGCCCGGGAUUCCUCCUAAGCCGCGUCCCAUCUGUGUGGGACCCCACUGAAAAUCGGACUGUUCAACUCACUUAGCAGCCACUCCCAGAGCCCCUGGAACUCUGGCCCAAGGCUCUCCGACUGACUCCUUCCCAGAUCAUCUCGGCUUAGCGGCUGAAGACUGACACUGCCCGAUGGCCUCAGAAGCCCCCUAGACCAUCACGGACACUGAGCUUCCGGUAACUCUCACAGUGGAAGAAACAGCCAUGUUGCUCACACAAAGCCUGUUUGGUGGUCUCUUCACACGGACGCACAUGAAAGUAUCUGUAUGAGUCAGAUUUCAUGCUGCUGAUAAAGACAUACCCGAGACUGGGAAGAAAAAGAGGUUUAGUUGGACUUACAGUUCCACAUGGCUGGGGAGGUCUCAGAAUCAUGGCAGGAGGCAAAAGGCACUUCUUACAUGGUGGCAGCAAGAGAAAAUGAGGAAGAAGCAAAAGCAGAAACCCCUGAUAAACCCAUCAGAUCUCCUGAGCUUUAUUCACUAUCACAGGAAUGACCAGCCCCCAUGAUUCAAUUACCUCCCCCUGGUUCCCUCCCACAACACGUGGGAAUUCUGGGAGAUACAAUUCAAGUUGAGAUUCGGGUGGAGAUCCAGCCAAACCAUAUCAUUAUCUUAAUUGACAUCAGUGUCCCGGUGGUCUUCUGCCAGUGAAUGAUACCUACUAUUACUAAAGUAUGUCCCUCAAAGAUGAGUGCCAUAGCAAAAGACCUUUGUAAAAUAAUAAAAAAAAAAAAACUGCUCUCCUACGGGAGCUGAACAGAAGUCUACAAAAUAGGCUGGGGCUCACCCUGACCUUCCUUUAACUACCACAAAUCACUCCUCUUUGCUGAGUAACUUACCAUUGCCUCUCAAUUUUGUUUCAUUUCAGGCAUUACACCUAAAAGUAAUUUGAGCACCUUGAGCUUAGAGCCUACCUUGGCUAAUGUGAAACACUCCAGCUGUGCUAAGAUGGUCCUCAAUAGUCAACAAGCACUUCUGAAAGUCUGGUGAUAAAUUUUCACGACAUAUAGAAGCCGUUUUUAUCUACAGCAUCAAUUUUACUGCUAUAAAUGAGCAAAAUGAGUGUCCCAUCUCUGGACAUACCUGGUUAUGCAAGAACUUAACAUCCCCUGAUGCUUUGUGAAAAGAACAUUUAAGAUCUUUUGCCCAUGUAAAAUGGAAUCCAUCUAUUAAAAUUGUACCUUGAAUUGCUAAGUUUGAAAAGAUCAUACAAUAUCUCAUCUUUGGUUUUUGAACUGCAGAAAGUUAAUCUGAAAUAGUUCAAUUUGGGUAGUAGAAUUUCCAAAAGCUGCCCAAAAGACAAAAUCUAUUUGAAAAAAGAAAAAAAACCAGCAAAGUGGGAACAGGUUAAGUUGUCUUUCCUUUCCUUUGGUCAGUAUCAUUCAGUUUGGAUUAUAAUCCAUGAUUUCUGAAAUAUAACCCACUUCAUUUGCCCUUAAAGACUAAGACCUCUAUUAAAAGCAGAGCAUUUCUUGUCAUUCUUUCCAUUGUAUUGACCACUGAGCGAUUCAUUAACAAUUGAUCUGCAUCUCCUUAAAGGAAAAAAAAAACCAGGUCAAUAGGAAGUCAAUCUGUUGAGAAGGAAUAGAGGAAAUAUGUGAUGCAGCAAGGCACAUCUGUAAUAAGACUGGAGGGAUGUAGGCAAUGGAGAGAACAGUGACAUGGCCCCUACAAAAAUCCAAUUUCUGAAGUCAGACAAACAGACUAAACUAGAGUUUAACACAGACAAACCUUUAUGCUAGAAAAGUUUAUUUGCCACCUAUUCCUGAUUUAGCCAUUGUGAUUUCUCUUUUGCAUAGUGUUUUGAAUGGAAAUUCACAGGUUACAAUGUUAAGAAGUUACUAAAGAACAAUUGAGGACAACAUAACUGAAAAUGGGGUGGUAAAAAGAACUGUUAAACUAUUUCUUUGAGCCUUAGUAAACCAUUUCCCACAAUUAUUCUAAAUUCAAAUUGGUCACUGAUGACAAAUAAGCAAUACUUUCAAACAAGUUUUGUUCUCCUGUCUAAAACUCUAUUUAACAUUUGAGAUAGUCAUUAGCUAAAAUAGAUUCUCUGACUCAAGGCAACAUUACCUUCUGCUAGCCUUGGCAUUAGAGUGGUUGGAAGAAGGAGGCUUCAUGUUCUGCAGUUGUCAGAAGAAAACAAACCACUUAAAUUUAUAACAAGUUACCAGCUAGAAUCUGUUGUAAUAAUCACAGUCUUUUGUGAAAAUCAAUGAAGUGCAUGGCAUUUUAAUUCACUAUCUCUGAUCCUCAAGGCAACCAAGCAAGUUGGUAUUAUGAUUACUCUGUCUUAGAUAGAAAUCAAGGUUCAAAGAAGUUACAUGUGCCCCACAUCGAAUAGCUCAUAAAUCCUAAAGUUAAUAUUGGAAGUCAAGUCUUACUAUUUCAAAACUCAUGCUCAAUCUACUGCUAACCUGUAGUCGUCUAGCUUUAAUUUAUAAUAUACAAUAAAACCUUACCUGGAACUCUAAUAAGUAAACCAGAUAAAAUAAAAGAGGCUCUGGUUGAAUUGGGAGGAGAAAGCCUGGAGCUUGACUACUUAGAUUCCUUCCCCUUUUCCCAACCCUCUCUGUAGCAGCCCCCAGUGCUCUGCUCUGUAGCACUGGGGGUGGCUACAGAGAGGCUCUGUAGGAAACCCUAUAGUUGGCCUUCUGUUGGGGCUCUUCCCAGCAACAUCUUGCUCCAUAAACACAAGCACCUGUAUGCAUAUCAGGGGUCAGUCACAAACUCGGAUGCUUACAGGUGCCCCAAACACAAUCCUGCUGCACCUUUGGAGUGAUGGAAGUUUCUUUUCAUUCCCUAGCCAUGAGUUUUAAAGUUAUUGGUCUCUCAACCAAUGGGGUUUUUUUAAUUGAAUUUUAAUUUCUGAAUCCAAAUUCCAAACUCAGAAUACUGAGGAAUGAUAUUAAUAGAAGGCCAUGGAAACAUACGAUAGUCAAUAAAAAGAGAAAGAUCUCAUUUAAUAAACAUGGUACAUAACCUAUAAACUUGACAUUCUGCAUUUUUGUAUACUGCAAACCCAUAUACGGUAUAUGUGCUAUGUGUAUUUCAAAGUAUAGUAUGCAUGUACCCAAACGUAAACAGUCAAAUUAAAUUCCGGCAGUUCAUUACCAACAUCACAAGCAAAACAUGCGCUCUCCCUGGGCAUUGAAGGUCCACCGGAAAUUAAGCAGACGGGGCUGCAAAGCACCUCAGAGUGAAGCCAGCCAGCUUCAUCUGCUGCAGCAGGCUGGAGGCAAGCACAAGGAGCGGCAGGAAUGAAAGGCUUCAGCGCCUUCCCUGGUGUCUCUGUGCCUUCUGAGUUUUCAGCUGACAUGGAGCAGUGAUUCCCUGAAAAGGAUGGGAUCUUGCUCCCUCAAAGAUCAGCCUUCUUUGAUGAGCCUGCUCCAGGUGGAGUGGAGCAACCACUUUAGCUUUUUAGUGCAGAGAAGACUUAGGAAGUUUCAUUUUCCUUGACUGGGGUUCUGCUUUCUGUACUGACCCUUCCUGGUCAGUGGGGAGCUCGGAGCUCUGAGUUGGAGCACCUUACCAAAAUCUUCUCUGAGUGGGGUUAAGUAAGCCAGCAGACUCUGCAAGAACAGAGCCUUGCUGAAUUUAGCUUUCCAGAAAGCCCUAUUUUAAGGGAACUCAGUAUUUCAGCAAGAUGCUGGAUUAGGGGGAGAAAACAAGUAGUCUGUUAAUUCUUUGUUGUUGUCAGCAGCCUUGCAGGUUCCUGGACCAUGACACAUCAGCACAGUCCUAAGUAACAGAAGACUCAGGUCCUCACCAUGACCUCAAACAGCAUGAUCUCUGUGAAUCUCAGUAAAUCAUUCUGAGCUUCACUUUCCUUGUUCACACCAUAUAGCUAUUUAUAUCUGCUCCACAUGAUGGGCAAGGUCACUGGGAAGUGUAGAUUAUAUAAGGCAUGGGAAUGGCUUCACAGGUUCAUGUGGGACAUCACAUGGUGAGGCACAGAGAUCAGAAGGUUUGGGUUCAAAUCAGCUCUGCCGAGCUGGAGAAACCAUGUUAGUACUUGACCCUGGUGUUUCAAACUCAAAAUCAGAAUAAGAUUAGGGAUAGGAAAAAGACCACACGAGAUACUUCUGAGUUUUAAAUGAUUUAUUUGAAUGAGGUCAACUUUCGUUCACUUCUAAAGGAAGAUAGAAGUGUGAGUUUUGUAAUUAGCCUAGAGAACCGGGGGAGCAAGACCCUACUGAACAAGCCUCCUCCAGAGCUCGCCCCAAAGUCUGGAGUGCAAAAUGUCCACCUCGUUAUGAUUAAUGAAGCCUCUGGAUAUAGAUCAGAAGACUAGAAAUGUCUGUGAAAGGAGCUCUUCCAGGGGCUCAGCCAAAACCAGGAGAAUUGCCCUCGACUCCUCUCUUUCCUUGUUUCUAAGCCAUCGGCAAUUUUGCUCAGCUCCAUCGUCAGGAAGUCCCAAAUCAGACCACUGCUCCCUGAUUCCACAGCUUCCGUCCUGGUCCAGGCUCCAUAAUCUCCCCCUGAACCUCUGAAAGAGCCUCUUAAGCAGACUCCUGCCGCUCCCCACCCUUGCUUCUCUUGUCUGUUUCUUCAAGCAGCCAAAGGGAUCCCUGUUAAAAUGUUAAGUGCAAUCUCAUCAGCCUCUGUUCAAAACCCUCAGAUGGCUUUAAGCAGAGUAAAAUCCAUAAUUCUCACCACAGCCAGGGGGACCUUGGUGACCUCAUUCCUCCAUGAGGGUAUCUCCCUCCACUCUCCUCAUCCCGUUUUCUGUUCCAGAUGCACUGACCAUCUAGUCCUACCUGGGAACAUGAACACCAGGAAUGCUGCUGCCUGGGAAGACUUUCACUUUCUGUUCUUUCUGCCUGAAACACUCCUUCCUGGGAAUCCACAUUAAUCCAUAUUCUUUCUUUGCUAGAGUCUGACUGAAAUAUCAUCUGUGCAGAGAGGCCUAUCUUACCACCCUAUUUUAAAUAAUACAUGUAUGUGUACGCACACCCAUGUGUAUGCACUCUCCAUCUCCUUACUUGCUUUAUUUUUCUUUAUUCACUCAUCAUCUUCUUCUAUACAUCCAUUCAUUUACUCUUCUAUCGUCUGUUUUAUACUCCUGCCCUUGAUUAGAAUAUAAAUUUCCUAAGAGUACAGACUUGGUCUGUUUGAUUCACUCUUCCAGUGCCCAA
rnacentral:lncRNA from 1 species